rnacentral:rRNA from 1 species
GAUGAACGCUGGCGGCGUGCCUAAUACAUGCAAGUCGAGCGAACAGACGAUGAGCUUUUUCUUCUGCCGUUAGCGGCUGACGGGCGAGUAACACGUGGAUAACCUACCUAUAAGACUUGGAUAAUUUCGUGAAACCGCAUCUAAUACUGGCUAAUACAUUGUACCGCUUGGUUCAAUAGUUAUUGACGCUUUUGCUGUCACUUAUAGCUGAAUCCGCGUCGCAUUAUCUAGUUGGUAAGGUAACGGCUUACCAAGGCGACGAUGCGUAGCCGACCUGAGAGGAUGAUCAGCAACACUGGAACUGAGACACGGUCCAGACUCCUAAGGGAGGCAGCAGUAGGGAAUAUUGCGCAAUGGGCGAAAGCCUGACGGAGCAACGCCGCGUGGGUGAAGAAGGUCUUCGGAUCGUAAAGCUCUGUUAUUAGGGAAGAAAAGAAGUAUAAGUAACUAUGCACGUUUUGACGGUACCUAAUGAGAAAGCAACGGCUAACUACGUG